rnacentral:rRNA from 1 species
UACGUAGGGGGCAAGCGUUGUCCGGAAUCAUUGGGCGUAAAGCGCGUGUAGGCGGCUUCGUAAGUUGGAUGUGAAAUCCCACGGCUCAACCGUGGACGUGCAUCCAAAACUACGUCGCUGGAGUCUCGGAGAGGAAGGUGGAAUGCUUGGUGUAGAGGUGAAAUUCGUAGAUAUCAAGCAGAACACCUGCGGCGAAGGCGGCCUUCUGGACGAUGACUGACGCUGAGACGCGAAAGCGUGGGGAGCAAACAGG